GCGGUAGCGUACUAUAAAGAUGGUGUUCCUUAUGAUGAUAAGGGACAGGUAAUUAUUACUCUUUUGAAUGGUACUCCUGACGGGAGUGGCUCUGGCGGCGGAGGUGGAAAAGGAGGCAGUAAAAGUGAAAGUUCUGCAG
rnacentral:misc_RNA from 1 species